GACGAACGCUGGCGGCGUGCUUAACACAUGCAAGUCGAACGGAAAGGCCCUGCUUUUGUGGGGUGCUCGAGUGGCGAACGGGUGAGUAACACGUGAGUAACCUGCCCUUGACUUUGGGAUAACUUCAGGAAACUGGGGCUAAUACCGGAUAGGAGCUCCUGCUGCAUGGUGGGGGUUGGAAAGUUUCGGCGGUUGGGGAUGGACUCGCGGCUUAUCAGCUUGUUGGUGGGGUAGUGGCUUACCAAGGCCUUGACGGGUAGCCGGCCUGAGAGGGUGACCGGCCACAUUGGGACGGAGAUACGGCCCAGACUCCUACGGGAGGCAGCAGUGGGGAAUAUUGCUCAAUGGGCGGAAGCCGGAUGCAGCAACGCCGCGUGCGGGAUGACGGCCUUCGGGUUGUAAACCGCUUUCGCCUGUGACGAAGCGUGAGUGACGGUAAUGGGUAAAGAAGCACCGGCUAACUACGUG
rnacentral:rRNA from 1 species